UCUGGCCACUCUGGGCUUCUCUACAGUGUUGCCUUGUAGCCUGGUGAUCAAGCAGCAUUGUACAGGGCUUUCAGCGUGUACAGAAC
ensembl:miRNA dre-mir-107b dre-mir-107b